GAUGAACGCUGGCGGCGUGCCUAAUACAUGCAAGUCGAGCGAAUGGAUUAAGAGCUUGCUCUUAUGAAGUUAGCGGCGGACGGGUGAGUAACACGUGGGUAACCUGCCCAUAAGACUGGGAUAACUCCGGGAAACCGGGGCUAAUACCGGAUAACAUUUUGAACCGCAUGGUUCGAAAUUGAAAGGCGGCUUCGGCUGUCACUUAUGGAUGGACCCGCGUCGCAUUAGCUAGUUGGUGAGGUAACGGGUCACCAAGGCAACGAUGCGUAGCCGACCUGAGAGGGUGAUCGGCCACACUGGGACUGAGACACGGCCCAGUCUCCUACGGGAGGCAGCAGUAGGGAAUCUUCCGCAAUGGACGAAAGUCUGACGGAGCAACGCCGCGUGAGUGAUGAAGGCUUUCGGGUCGUAAAACUCUGUUGUUAGGGAAGAACAAGUGCUAGUUGAAUAAGCUGGCACCUUGACGGUACCUAACCAGAAAGCCACGGCUAACUACGUGCCAGCCGCCGCGGUAA
rnacentral:rRNA from 1 species